ensembl:lncRNA
CUGCCUCUUAUCAGAGAGCCGGCAAAGACAGAGGGGGCUGCACACCAGCAAGCGAAUCAGGAAAGAACCUUUCCCUCUUAUCCAAUGAACCGCCAAUAAACUGAUGACGAUUAUACUAAAUUUGCAUAAAUGGCGCGCUUUUUGUGAUAACUCACUAGCUGGCUUCAUCAUCUCAUCCCAGUUUUAACGGGUGUGUUCUAGCUUUCUAAAAAUUGCGGUUUCCCACUCAAAGUUUAACGUGAUCCGUUCGCCUUAUCCAGGGACCAGAGGGGCCGCCUAUUAAAGCCACCACCGGUUUAGUGUCUGGAUAGAGGAAGACACGGACGAGAAACAACAUCUACGGAUCUCUAAAGCCACGAGCUUUUACGAGUCUGAGAAAUUGUCCUUCUACUAACUUCUCCUUAUCUGAAGAUUCAUCUAUGAUCCUUGCAGCAAAUAUAACAAACCACGACAGCAUCCUUGAUUUAUACAAAAAGAAUGAGUCUACCUCUGAUUGGGAAUAUGUCCUGUGCAUAAGGAAUGGGCAUAUUAGCUGUUGGAACAGUGAACAUGCCUCUUACUUCUCUCUAUCACACAAUGACUUUGCUGUCAAGAAUGCUAAAGAAGUCAUAACUGGUUAUUAUAAAUUUGUUCGUUCCCUUAACUCAUCUUGCAUGCAGCAAUUCUUCAUUGCGGUUUUUGGUUCAAAAGGCACCGAUGACAUAGCCUGGAUUUGGAUUUGCUCUGCCUUAAGUAUCCUGGUUGUGGUGGCUGUACUUGUUGCUGUACCUGUGACAUUUUGUUUGAUCAAAAGAAACAGAAGAGGAGGAGAUCGCGUUGAAAGAGUUCCAGGGUGUGAAAAUGGAUCUCCUGCAUGCAUGCUCAAUGGAAUUCAAAUGGACAACCUUGCCCACGUAGUAGAAACAACAGAGAUAUCUCACUGAAGAGUGACAGCUUGUCACAAGACACUGUAAGCUGGCUUCCUCCAACCUGUGGGCCCUUCAGGUGUGUUAGCUUGCCCUGGUACUCAGCCAGCAUUUCCAUUGAUAAGCUAUAAUAAGAAUGUCAAACAUAGUAUUUCCUUUCUUGUGCCUAUCUUCCUUUCUUAUUUUUCCAACAAAAACUAUGUGUUCCAUGUCUGGACGCUCUUGACUUCAUUAGGCUGCUGUGGGUUGGGCUUGGCUUCACUUGUCCAAAUCUUGGGUUUCCUCUUGUGCUGCUAUUUCCUCCUUGUUUCUCUGUGGCUUUUUUGUUUGUUUGUUUGUUUUUGAUCCUGGUUUUGUUAUACAGGAUGCAUAGCGACGAUAAUCCGUUCCGGAAAAAUCAUCGCUAUGCGGAACAAAGCCCAUAAGCAUGCAUCAAAACACGUUUAAUGUGUUCCUAUGAGCAAAAAACUCACCGUUAUGCGAAAAUCCUCCAUGCGGCCGCCAUUUUCGCUGCCUGGUAAGCGAUGAAUGGGCGCGAAAACACAGCGGGCGGCCAUUUUAUUUACCUGGUGGCCAUUUUGGAACUGCCGAUCAGCUGUUCUAAAAACAUUGCUAUGCGAUCACAAAAACGAUCACACAAAAAACACAUCGCAAUGUGGAUUCAUAGUUAAACGAAUCACUCGUUAUGCGGGGCACCACUGUACAUGUGAGUUUGCCAUUAAAUGAAGUGGUCCUGAUCGAAGAGCUAUUUAAAAAAAAUCCUAGAAGUAUUAACUUGAUGGACUAAUGCAAUAGUUUCAUCAAAAGCUGUUUUUAAAAACUUGGUUAUAUAUGAAGACACAUACACACACCCCGAGAAGUUCAGGUUGCGAUCGUGAUUGCUGACAGCGAUCUGGCACCAAUUUUUGACUUUUAACACAAACACACAAAAAAAGAGUUCUGAAGCUCUCAAAGCCUCUUACAGGGCAAAAGGGAGCCAGAGGGAGACCUGGAAGCUUUAAACUAAUUUAAGUCAAUUAUUUCAGGCACCCAAUUCAGAUUUAACCACACAAAGUUUUGCAAUUGGAUCUCACCCAUUGUUUACCUAACACUAAAUCCUGGAACCCAAAAUUGUAUAAGCUUUUUCUGCCCUUCAUAUUCUUUGAGCAACCUGCCAGUUUAAAGAAAGGCCUGUGGAACAGGCAAAGACACAUCCAGCCAGCCAGCACGGCAAUUGUCUGCCUGCCAAGAGUUGAAUUUUUUACAGAUGCACUGAACGAUCUGAAUGUUUACAAUAAAUUAUUAUUAUUUAUUUAUCA